rnacentral:rRNA from 1 species
AUGAACCGGCCUUUGAGGAUAUCUUUGCUUCGGAACAAAACCCUGCAAUCAAAUAGAUUGUCCCAAGGACGCCAUAUUCUAGGAGCCCAAGUUAUGCUAUUGAAAAUUCGUUCCUCUAGCAGUUCCGGUUUGAGCAUUCCGUUCCCUUUUUCAAACUCCACUUCUUUUCAUAUAGCAUCCUUGAUCAAAGAGAGAACAAUAUCCAUUUCAAAACAUUUCUAACAGAUUCCUUAGUUCGGACCGACGAAGUAA